UACGUAGGGGGCGAGCGUUGUCCGAAGUUACUGGGCGUAAAGCGCGUGUAGGCGGCUGCGUGUGUCGGGCGUGAAAUCCCAUGGCUCAACCAUGGAAGUGCACCCGAAACUGCGUAGCUAGAGUCCUGGAGAGGAAGGUGGAAUGCUUGGUGUAGAGGUGAAAUUCGUAGAUAUCAAGCGGAACACCGGUGGCGAAGGCGGCCUUCUGGACAGUGACUGACGCUGAGACGCGAAAGCGGGGGGAGCAAACAGG
rnacentral:rRNA from 1 species